rnacentral:rRNA from 1 species
GACGAACGCUGGCGGCGUGCCUAAUACAUGUAAGUUGAGCGCUGAAGGUUGGUACUUGUACCAACUGGAUGAGCAGCGAACGGGUGAGUAACGCGUGGGGAAUCUGCCUUUGAGCGGGGGACAACAUUUGGAAACGAAUGCUAAUACCGCAUAAAAACUUUAAACACAAGUUUUAAGUUUGAAAGAUGCAAUUGCAUCACUCAAAGAUGAUCCCGCGUUGUAUUAGCUAGUUGGUGAGGUAAAGGCUCACCAAGGCGAUGAUACAUAGCCGACCUGAGAGGGUGAUCGGCCACAUUGGGACUGAGACACGGCCCAAACUCCUACGGGAGGCAGCAGUAGGGAAUCUUCGGCAAUGGACGAAAGUCUGACCGAGCAACGCCGCGUGAGUGAAGAAGGUUGUCGGAUCGUAAAACUCUGUUGGUAGAGAAGAACGCUGGUGAGAGUGGAAAGCUCAUCAAGUGACGGUAACUACCCAGAAAGGGACGGCUAACUACGUG